CUUGGGCACUGAUUAAGAAAGAAACACCAGAGCUGAAUGGAGAUGCGACCAUUUUAUAGUUAUUGUGGGAGGCAAGUGCAGCUUGUGGCUGGAACUGCGAGGCAAGAAUCAGUGCUGGCUACUCCGGUUGCACGCUCCUGACUGCUUCUUCACCUCAACAGUCGUGUGUGAACAAUUGAGUAAGUUUGUUCAGUGUAAAUCCUCUUCUUUAAACUCAUUAAAGUGUGCCAAGCCUCUCUAAGAGCCC
rnacentral:lncRNA from 1 species